rnacentral:rRNA from 1 species
UACAGAGGUUGCGAGCGUUAAUCGGAGUAACUGGGCGUAAAGGGCACGUAGGCGGUUAUAUUAGUCUGAUGUGAAAGACCUGGGCUUAACCUGGGAUGUGCAUUGGAAACGGUAUGGCUAGAGUAUGGGAGAGGGAAGUGGAAUUUCCGGUGUAGCGGUGAAAUGCGUAGAGAUCGGAAAGAACACUCGUGGCGAAGGCGGCUUUCUGGCCCAAAACUGACGCUGAGGUGCGAAAGCGUGGGGAGCAAACAGG